rnacentral:rRNA from 1 species
UACGGAGGGAGCUAGCGUUGUUCGGAAUUACUGGGCGUAAAGCGCACGUAGGCGGCUAUUCAAGUCGGGGGUGAAAGCCCGGGGCUCAACCCCGGAACUGCCCUCGAAACUAGAUAGCUAGAAUCUUGGAGGGGCGAGUGGAAUUCCGAGUGUAGAGGUGAAAUUCGUAGAUAUUCGGAAGAACACCAGUGGCGAAGGCGACUCGCUGGACAAGUAUUGACGCUGAGGUGCGAAAGCGUGGGGAGCAAACAGG